UAUAAAGGGAUCUAAUGCCCUCUUCUGGUGU
rnacentral:piRNA from 1 species